GAUCCUUUGGGGGUGCUAUCAUCCAAGUCGACCGAUGGUUAAGACCUUGCUCUUAUGAAGUUAGCGGCGGACGGGUGAGUAACACGUGGGUAACCUGCCCAUAAGACUGGGAUAACUCCGGGAAACCGGGGCUAAUACCGGAUAACUUUUGAACCGCAUGGUUCAAAUUGAAAGGGGUUCGGCUGUCACUUAUGGAUGGCCCGCGUCGCAUUAGCUAGUUGGGAGGUAACGGCUCACCAAGGCAACGAUGCGUACCGACCUGAGAGGGUGAUCGGCCACCUGGGACUGAAACACGGCCCAAACUCCUACGGGAGGCAGCAGGGGAAACCCCCCCCAU
rnacentral:rRNA from 1 species